rnacentral:rRNA from 1 species
AUUCCGGUUGAUCCUGCCGGAGGUCACUGCUAUUGGGAUUCGAUUAAGCCAUGCGAGUCGAGAGGGUUCGGCCCUCGGCAGACUGCUCAGUAACACGUGGAUAAUCUGCCCUUAGGUGGAGCAUAACCUCGGGAAACUGAGAAUAAUUCUCCAUAGGUCUAGGAUGCUGGAACGCGCCUAGACUAAAAGAUUUAUCGCCUAAGGAUGAGUCUGCGGACUAUCAGGUUGUAGUCAGGGUAAAGGCCUGACUAGCCUACGACGGAUACGGGUUGUGAGAGCAAUAACCCGGAGAUGAUAUCUGAGACACGAUAUCGGGCCCUACGGGGCGCAGCAGGCGCGAAACCUUCACACUGUGCGAAAGCGCGAUGAGGGGAUCCCAAGUGCUUGCUCUUAGGAGUAAGCUGUUUUUCUGUUUAAAUCGCAGGAAGAGUAAGGGCUGGGUAAGACGGGUGCCAGCCGCCGCGGUAAUACCUGCAGCUCAAGUGGUGACCGCUAUUAUUGGGCCUAAAACGUCCGUAGCCGGCUGAGUAAAUGCCUGGGUAAAUCGUGUCGCUUAAC